GUGUUUGUCGAUGAAUUAUUGGUACUCA
rnacentral:miRNA from 1 species